UGGUGUUUCAGUGGUAGAAUUCUUGCUUUCCAUGCUGGAGACCCAGGUUCGAUUCCUGGCCA
rnacentral:tRNA from 1 species